rnacentral:lncRNA from 1 species
CGAUUAAUAGAUAUUAACUUAUCCUGUGCUUUCUUGAGGAAAGUGGUAUCUUGUACGAAAAAAUGUCAAGAACAAGGCCCUAAGAAAAGGAAAUAUAGCAUAUGAUAUGGGCUAAUGACAGUUGCUGCCCCUGAAUAUCUGUAUCCUCCAGCCUAUUCCAAGAUCACUGAUCACACUGGAAUCAUCUGUUUACUUUCUUUUUGCUAGACUGGACUCUGAGCUCCUUAAUGGCUGGGGCAUGCAUUUGUCCCCACAGCCCCAAUCCACAGCACCGUGCCUGGCUCAGAGUAUGUCUCAUGAAUGAGUUAAUGAUAACAAUCAUGGCCCAGAGAUUCUGCCUGAUUCUCAUACAUCUAAAAGAAAAUGAAUCAAUUUUGUAAUCAUGGAUUGGUGCUGUCAGUGCCUGAUGGAUGAAGGGGACGGAUCAGAAUGGACUGGAGGGGAUUGGAUCUGCCUUGCAAAUCAUGAGGGAAUCCCAGGGAAAGAAAACACUCCUCGGACUGAUAGUGAGGUGAUUGUCUCUACAUACAGAUGAGAUACAUGAGACACUGAGAAAUGGAUACCACUGAGGUCAUGGCCAGGAGGUGGCAGUGCAAAGAUUCCUACCCAAGCUUCCUCAUCUGUGAACAGAACAGGAAGGCCUCGGUAAAUAGGUACAUGUUGACAAGCAACAACCUACUCAAAACUCAUCUUUUUGUAUUAAUGCAUCAUGUGACUCCCUCGUUUGGACUUCUGCAGGAACAUGUCAGAUCAGUCAAGUUGCAUUUGCAGAAAACGGAAACCACCCUGGGAAAGGAUAAGUGGUUCUAAUAUAGAGAACUAAGUGCUGAAAAAAAUGGGCUACAGGAAUAUUCUCUAGUCUGUGUCUUCAGGAAUUACUUCUGGAACUGCACCUUAACACUGGCUGACCAAGGACAAACUGGCUACUAUAAAAGGAAAGUGGGUGGUGAGGACCAACCACAGGAAGUGGUAACUGCAAGUGCACUCUGUCAUCACCGUGAUGCAAGGAUCAGGAAGCCCUCUAGUGAUAACUGCCCAUGCACAUAUAAGAAGGGAGGAAGGGACACUGCUCAGAAGACGCCAGCAUCUCCACAAGACCAUUCUUGCCAGCAACAACUUCCAAAAGUAUAGAAAACUGCAUUGUAAUCAGAUUCCAUUUUCCAAAUCUUGAAAGAGGGCAUCUAAUUAGUAGACCAAGAUUCACAGAAUUCAAGGAAACAUAGUUUGCAGCUUCCUUCUGUACCAGAAAGCACAGAGAAAUAGAAUGAGUAGUGCUUACAGGGACAGCUCAUGGGUUGCUUUCUAAUUGGAAAUUUACUAAUCUUUACAGGUGAAUAUUUUUUAAAGAUCCCUCAUUUUAAUUUGCAUGAUUCCUCUGGAGCCAUCACUAUACUUUUGGCCAAAAUUAUUUAUCUGAUUCAGUUGUCCAGAGGGUUCACUACAAGUACAUUUUCACACAAGGAUUCUAGCCUGAAUUUAUUUAACUGACAUUUCAAACUAUGUACUUCAUGAUAUUCCACCAACAUAUUUCAAAGCUAUUGUUAGGUAUAACAUUUUACCUGUUAUUUCAUGGGAAAGGUACACACACCCCAUAUAUCUUUUCUCUUCAUUAUCACCUUAAUUUUAUUUAAGAAAUUUUUAAUCUACAUGGUUUGAAUUAUCUCCUUUGUUAAGACAAGGUAACUCAAUUACAAGAAACAGAAAGUUCCCCAUAUGAUACUGGGCAGAUAUAGGUUAUUAAAACUGGUACUAGCAGGAAAGGGAGUGUGAGUACUUUGCAUAUAAUCACGUACAAUUUGGAGAAAGUGUUCUUAAAGCCCUUGGUUCAGUGGGGACCUGGGAAAAAAUAGUGGACUCUUGACUGUCAGUUCAGUAGCAUAAUGAGUCUAAGCACAUUCUGAGUGCUAGUUCUUAAAAAGAAAUAAAAAGCAAGAAAACUUUGCUUCAGGUGAUCCUAAAAUGUAGCAAAGGAACUCUGCAGCACUUCUGGGAAAAUUGCUGAUUGGCAUGAAAAAGAAUUAAGUGCUUUUCUCAUACCUGCAUGCAAUUUUAACUGUUCUAUGAAGCUUAAAUGCUGUUCAAAAUGCCUCGAAGAGAAUCAGGGAAGUUUUGUGCAAGCAAGAAAAGAUUCUAUGAAGCUGAAGAGAAAGCUGCUAUUUUGCAUUGCCCUAGUGUUUGUUUUAAAAUCUAUAAAUUUGGGGAAAAAUAAGUAGAAAGCAUCAAUAAGUAGAAUAAAUCAAUAGUCUAUAAUUUCGAUUGCAUUUUACAAUGGAAUCAAUACUUCUGCUUUCAGUAAAUAGAAAACUCCUGAUCAUAACCCUUUCUUUGGAGUGUUCUGUAAACUAUGCAAUGCUUAGUUAGCAUGCAUUUGUUUUUCUCUACAAAAGCCUGAUGACAAUUAUGUGUUUUAUGCCCUCUCAAAAAUUAAGCAAAAAUUAAAUAUCUACCCAAAAUAUUUUAUUUUAGAAUUGUUUAAUCUUUACAUCUCAGUAAGUGUUGACUAUAUCUAUGCAUUAAAUUGUCUUAAGAACAAUAAUAUUUCUGCCUAUUUCAAAUACUAUACAAUUGAGCCUGCCACAAGAACUGUUAUUGGCCAGAAAGAAAAUAAGAUUCACGAUAAAUACAUGAAUAAAGGCAGCAUCAUAAUUUCUAUUCCAUUAUAGACAGACUGAGUCAGUGACAAGAGGAGCUAAAGUACAAAAUGUGGUCAGCUGGCCCAGCUAGCUUAAAACCUAGUUGUUUUUCUUUGCUUGAAUGGUCAAGAUCUCUUAUGACAAAUUUUGAAUUACAAGAGAAUGUUCAGUGUUACCAGUCUUAUUUGUUAUUUAUUAAGUUCUUUGAAUAGAUUUUUUUAAAAGUUGACUGGUGUGAGUCUCAAAGAAACCUGAGGGAUAGUUUAGGGUACAUGUAGGAAGGUAUUGAAAAGAUUUUUACUGAAUGAAGGAUAGAUUGGGAUGUUGGAAUGAGGAAGCAGAAGUACAAAUUCCAGGGAGGAUUACAUUCUAGUAAAAUGUCAGUUUCCAAAGGUCAGUGCCAUCCAGUCUUUCCAUGAGCCAUUUUCUGUGCAAUAAGCAUGACUCCUGGGCAUGAUAGGAUAGAGUUUUAUAAGAUUUCCUUUCUCUCAUGCAUCAUAUUUAAAGUUUCUUUUCUAAAAGGGAAGAAAGGUGCGUAUCUGUGCCACAAGGAGUGGCUGACUCCAGCACAGUAACCUCAAGGGUAGCACCUUCAAUGUUGAUGAGGUUGGACUUAGCUGCUGGUUCUGGAAAGACAAAAGUGGACUAGAGGCUGUUGAUAAGUUGGCUACUCCUCCCUUGUUUUUAGUUUCAUUUCAGGUCAAGAAGUAGCCAUUGGUCACCACGUCUGUAACAUGCACUGUGCUGUGUGUUGGGCGUACAAAGAAGGAGAAUCUGCAGUCCUCUUCCUAAAGGAGUGCAUAGUGAUUUCAGUCCCAGGCGGUAAAGGCAGAGAAGUUUGCUCAGGGCUAUAGGGAAGGUCAGAGACAAUCCUCUGGCUCACCUGAGAGGUUCAGAAUAAGCUUUGAAGAGGAGAUGGUGCUGAGCUGAAUUUUCCACAAUGAGUUAACCACAUGAAAAAGCUGACAAAGGUCCAGGUGUAGUGGCUCAUGCCUGUAACCCCAGCACUUUGGGAAACCGAGGUGGGUGGAUCACAUGAGGGCAGGAGUUCAAAAUCAACCUGGCCAACAUGGUGAAACCCCAUCUCUACUAAAAAUACAAAAAAAUUAGCCAGGUAUGGUGGUGUGUGCCUGUAGUCCCAGCUGCUUGGGAGGCUGAGGCAUGAGAAUCGCUUGAACCUGAGAGGCAGUGGCUGCAGUGUGCUGAGAUCACACCACUGCACUCCAGCUUGGGUGACAGAGUAAGGCUCUGUCAAAAAAAAAAAAAAUGCUGACAAAGGCAAUCAGUAAAAUUAGUAAGAAAUAGCAUCAAUAGAAAACAGGUUUUACAAGCAACUUGGUAUAACUAAAUUUAAAAAUGUAAGGUGAGAAAUGUAGGUGACAAAGGCCAAGUCUUUGGUAGCAAGCUAUUUACAGUAUUUUAUCUACAAAUUGUUCCAACAUGUCACGUUUGCUACUUUAUUGAAAUGUUUGAUUGCAUAACAUGGAGAAUGUGCAGUGUGAGAUGAUGCCAUAUUUUCACUCUCUAAGACCUCGGAAGACUAAGCAGCUUUAAUCACCUAGAGUUUCAGUCAUUUCAGUGAAUAUUCAUAGAAAUAGAGGUGACCAACCAGCAGCGAGCUCAAGUGGCUGCAUCUACAGAGUGGGUUAGGAAUGUGGUGAGGUGUUUGGCAGUGGAGCGGUAGGCAGUGUGGGCAAUGCUGUCUGAAAGGUUAUCUCUCUAGUCUCCAUGGGGAUACAUGAAAAACUAAAAUAUAGAUAAUAACAUUCAUUCAUUCAUUUAUUUAUUCCUUUUUUAGAGACGGGGUCUUGCUAUGUUGCCCAGAAUGGAAUGCAGUGUCUCUUCACCGGCACCAUCCUGGCAUGCUAUAGCCUCAAACUCCUGGGCUCAAGCAUCAUCCUGCCUCAGCCUCCCAAUUAGCUGGGACUACAGGUGUGCAUCACUGUGCAGAGCUAAUAAUGUCCUUUCUGUAUGAAUUAUCGAGACUCAAGAAAGCACUUUGAUAGGGGAAGUGAAUACACUGGGGACAAUUAGUGGGUGGAUGUGUCUGAAGUGAGAGUAAGGCUCUCUUCAGCUGCAGCAUGAAAAUAAGGUGACCAGUUGAGGUCCUGGUUUUCCAGCUGAGCUCUCAAUCUCGUCUCACAAGACUGAUAAAAACGAUAUCUUUAGUUUUCCAGGACUGGCUAGAAACAAUGCAGGGAUAUUAUCAACAUCUCGUUAUUUUGUUCUCAUAAUUAUUUGAUUAAUGAUAAUGACUCAGCUGCUUUGUAAUACUAUGUAUGUCUUUUAUUAGCCUUAUAACUUCCCUUAACAGUAUAGGGACCUUGAUUUCUUAGUUUUGCCAAGAGAGCAAUAAACUCACAGUCAAGUUACUUUUUUAGAAUGUGUAUAGUUCCCAGGUGAAGGGAAUUUCAGUUCACUUAGAUAUCCUUUAAUUUUCACAUUCAUUCCAGCCUCAUUUCUACUCUGCAUAUGUCUCCAGUAUAUUUUUGCUCAUGACACAGAAAUAUCAGUUCCAUUCUUUGCUGGAAUUAACAAACAGCAAAAUAUCUCACCUGCUGGACAGAAUGCAUUGAUCUGCUAUUUUCUAUCUGUCCUAGAACCUCUUGUAGCACCAUUGUUUAACACAUUCUUGGAUUCAUAUUUAGAGCAUCAGGCUAAUUCAUGUUUGCUGAUUUGCAUAUGAAGGCUAGAUGUUAAAGUAGAAUUUAAAAUAUUUGGUUAUAUCUACUGUUUUUACCCUCUCUAAUUUAGUAGAACGUUUCUGGAUGUCAUAUUGUGUGGUUUAGUUAACUAUUAUGCACCAAUUAUACUAAUGUUUAAAUAAUAGUUUAACAUAUUUUUAACAAUGUUUAACUUAUUAUUUGUAGUAUAUAACCAGGAGAAAGUCUUCAGUUAUACAGUAAUUUAUCUUUCUUUCAUAAAGCUAAAAAGAUGUUAAUUUGCAUGAUUUUAGCUGAGUUUUCAGUGUGGACUUUGCUUCUGAAUUGUGUCCAAGGCUCUGAGUCGGUUUUAAGACCUUACAUCUGCAUGGUGCUUUGCCGUUUAAGAAGGAAUUCCACAUUAAUCUUCAGCUCUGAUUAUUCAAGUUCAUCCCGGUUCCUGUUACAGUCACUGCUUGAAUAAAUGAAUGAACCAAAACCAGAAUUGACUUUGGUUUUCCUAACAUUGUGAGUUUGUUGGAACAGAUAUCAUUAUUAUGGAAUAAUGUGAUUUUGUAAUAUUAUAUAAUAUAAUUAUUGUAUUUUUCAGAUAAAACAGCUGCUAAAAUUUAUUUGUACAGCUGACCUUGGAAUAACACAGGUCUUAACUGCAUGGAUCUAUGUAUGCAUGGAUUUUUUUUUCAAUAAAAUUACACUAACUGUGCCUGCCUCUCCCGCUUCCCCUUCCACCUCCUUCAUCCUUUCUUCCUCUGUCACCUCUGAGAUAACAAGGCCAACCCCUCCCCUUUCUCUUUCUCUUCAUUUGAAGACAAGGAAGUUGAAGACUUUUAUGAGGAUCUGCUUUCACUUAAUGAAUAGUAAAUAUAUUUUCUCUUCCUUUUGAUUUUCUUAAUGACGUUUUCUUUUUUCUAGCUUACUUGAUGGUAAGAUAAAGUCUAUAAUACAUAUAACAUACAAGAUCUAUGUUAAUCGACUGUUUUUGUUAUUCCCAAAGCUUCUGGUCAACAGUAAGCUAUUAGUAGUUAAGUUUUGGGGGAGUCAAAAAGUUACACAUGGAUUUUCUACUGUGCGGGGUUCGGCACCCCUAAUUCUUGCAUUGUUCAAGAAUCAGUUGUAUUACACUUUCUAGUUACAAUGCAUUUAACAUCUUGUGCUAUUUAAAACAACCCUGUCAGGCAGGAGGAGAAAAAUGAUUAUCUCUGUCUAGCAGAUAAGAAAAGUGAAAUUCAAAGGUCAAUGACCAUCUCCAAAUCACAGUGCAACAGCAUUGCUAAGACCUGAAUUCAGUCUGUUUCAUCAUAGUUCGCUGCUCUUUUAAAAAUUCCACCGUGCCUCUUAGGGCAUAUUAAUCACCAUGUGUGGGAGUGGGUGGGGGCUGUCAGAGGGGCAGCAUCUGGAGUUUUACCUGGUCAGGACAGAAGUCCUCCUCCCUGCUGGAAUGAUGAGCCUCUGUGCUUUGUUCCUUCUCUGCAGUGUGGCCAAAGUGAUGGGCUUUUACAAAAGGGCACCAUGGGGCAUUUUCGGGGUAGCUUGGGAUGGUGAUUGGGAGUAGCUCACAUGACACAUGUUAGGAUGUUGCCAAACUCAUUUUGGCAAGGCUAUUUGAUAGUAAAAGGAUAUAACGCUAGCAGCCUCUGUUGUCCAACACCAGGGAGAUAAUUCUUCUGUUCUUAUCCAGCAUGGUGCCAAGCUCUACGGGAACAAAAUGGAAGAAGGAGGAGGCAGAAAACGAAGCCCUCAGGUCCCUUAGGUUCAGGAAUGCACAUAAUUAAUGCCUUCCUUGACCCUUAGGAAAGCCAGAGCGCUAAGCAUUGGGAAUAUUUUACAUUAAC